UACAGAGGAGCCAAGCGUUGUCCGGAUUGACUGGGCGUAAAGCGCACGCAGGCGGUCUGGCGCGUGGGGUGUGAAAUCUGGCCGCUUAGCGGCCAGGCGCCAUCCCAUACGGCUAGACUGGAGGGCUGCAGAGGUCGAUGGAAUUGCCGGUGUAGUGGUGAAAUGCGUAGAGAUCGGCAGGAACACCCAGGGGGAAAGCAGUCGACUGGGCAGCACCUGACGCUGAGGCGCGAAAGCGUGGGGAGCAAACGGG
rnacentral:rRNA from 1 species